rnacentral:rRNA from 1 species
UACGGGGGGGGCAAGCGUUGUUCGGAAUUACUGGGCGGAAAGGGCUCGUAGGUGGCCAACUAAGUCAGACGUGAAAUCCCCAGGCUCAACUUGGGAACUGCGUCUGAUACUGGAUGGCUUGAAUUCGGGAGAGGGAGGCAGAAUUCCAGGUGUAGCGGUGAAAUGCGUAGAUAUCUGGAGGAAUACCGGUGGCGAAGGCGGCAUCCUGGACCGAGAUUGACACUGAGGCACGAAAGCUAGGGGAGCGAACGGG